UGUUCUAUGGCCGAACUGGUAAAGGCAUUGCCGAUCAAGGUUGUGGGUUCGAGUCCCGCUGGAACGG
rnacentral:tRNA from 1 species